GAUGAACGCUGGCGGCGUGCCUAAUACAUGCAAGUCGAGCGAACGGACGAGGAGCUUGCUCUUCUGACGUUAGCGGCGGACGGGUGAGUAACACGUGGAUAACCUACCUAUAAGACUGGGAUAACUUCGGGAAACCGGAGCUAAUACCGGAUAAUAUAUUGAACCGCAUGGUUCAAUAGUGAAAGACGGUUUUGCUGUCACUUAUAGAUGGAUCCGCGCCGCAUUAGCUAGUUGGUAAGGUAACGGCUUACCAAGGCAACGAUGCGUAGCCGACCUGAGAGGGUGAUCAGCCACACUGGAACUGAGACACGGUACAGACUCCUACGGGAGGCAGCAGUAGGGAAUCUUCCGCAAUGGGCGAAAGCCUGACGGAGCAACGCCGCGUGAGUGAUGAAGGUCUUCGGAUCGUAAAACUCUGUUAUUAGGGAAGAACAAAUGUGUAAGUAGCUAUGCACAUCUUGACGGUACCUAAUCAGAAAGCCACGGCUAACUACGUG
rnacentral:rRNA from 1 species